AUUGAACGCUGGCGGCAGGCUUAACACAUGCAAGUCGAGCGGGGUGAUGGUGCUUGCACUAUCACUUAGCGGCGGACGGGUGAGUAAUGCUUAGGAAUCUGCCUAUUAGUGGGGGACAACAUCUCGAAAGGGAUGCUAAUACCGCAUACGUCCUACGGGAGAAAGCAGGGGAUCACUUGUGACCUUGCGCUAAUAGAUGAGCCUAAGUCGGAUUAGCUAGUUGGGGGGGUAAAGGCCUACCAAGGCGACGAUCUGUAGCGGGUCUGAGAGGAUGAGCCGCCACACUGGGACUGAGACACGGCCCAGCCUCCUACGGGAGGCAGCAGUGGGGAAUAUUGGACAAUGGGGGGAACCCUGAUCCAGCCAUGCCGCGUGUGUGAAGAAGGCCUUAUGGUUGUAAAGCACUUUAAGCGAGGAGGAGGCUCUUUUGGUUAAUACCCAAGAUGAGUGGACGUUACUCGCAGAAUAAGCACCGGCUAACUCUGUGCCAGCCGCCGCGGUAA
rnacentral:rRNA from 1 species